CUCAAAAAAGAGAAGAAUUAGAGCCACCACACGACCUGUUCUCCCCCAAAUCGGCCCCUCCCUAGACCUCCUCCUCGACCGCCGCCGCCGCCCCCUCUGCCGUUGACCACGCCCUCCGCCUCCCCCCCCUUUGGUUGACCUGUACGACCCCAUCGGGAUCUAUGGCGGCGGUGCUUGGAUCUCGGCGUCGCCUCCCUCGAUACGCCUAUGGUGUGCGAGGUCAUCGUUGCCUCCCUCCCUUUGACACCACCACCAGAUCUGGUCGACGAUGCCGGUCGCCUCCAUCUCUUCUUUACAGUCCAUCACGCCGACGAGCAUAGGCCCCCACCACGGCUUCCUCCCCGCCAACGGAAAGCGUGGUGUCCCAUCUCUACUAUGCUGGUACAAUACUUUCCUCAGAUCCGUCUUGGUGGAAACCCGAUGCAGGUGCUAUUAGUGAAAGGAUUGGAGACUAGUUCUAGCAGUGGUUGGUUUGUUCGAGGAAUUCCUGGUGCUCGUGAUUAGUAAAGGGUUUCAGCCCAGGUUCAGACAUUGCGCAACUGAAGACUGUGUAUACUAGUCAAAGGCACGAGCUAUGCACGUGUUCUUCACUCACUCAUCUGUUUAUUUGAGCAACAUUUAUUUUCAGACGGGAGUAGUAUGUAUGCUGUUGAGUGUUAAAUCCCGUCCAAAGGAUUGGCAAGUUGCUGCUUCAAAAAUUGGUAGAUACAAACGAUUAGUGCUCUGUACAAGCUAGUUGUUUAUAGAAGGAAGGUUACUCUAGUCAUCGUUGUUUCCCAAUCAUAGCCACAAAAGAUCUUGAAUAGCAAAGUUUCACCAGUGGGCCCAUUUGGAACCGUCAGGAUUCCAGAAAGGUCCUGGAGUCGUUUUGGCGCUUGCCCAUACAUAGCAAAUCUAAGAAAUGUCAACCAUUAGAUCUCUUGGGCAAGGUACUGAUGAACGGUGGAUAUUCAUUUUAUGGAACAAAUCAAUGACUUGUAUUUGCUCUGGAGUCUGGGCGGACUGCUAAUCCAAAUUCAAAAAAUUAUGUACUAUAGUAGUAGGGGAAUGUAGUGCUCUAUAAAGUUUUUGGUGCCACAUCUGAAAGAGCUAAAUUUAUAGACAUGAGUGUGGAUUUGAUAUUAAAAAUUUCUCUACAAAAGUAGCUACUUUUCCUGCCCUGAUUUACCAUCUAGCUAAUUGUUUCAUAGGAGUUCAAUACUGAGGUAACAUUUUUUUUCUCUCAAACUUGUGCUUGAAUGUACCAAUGAAAAUGCUCUUCACAACUCUAAUUCUUGGUGCCAAUGGGUAUUCUUCCAUUUACUAUGAUUAAGUGCUCUUUGUCCUAAUUCUGGAUGUUAAAAGAAAAUGAACUUUGACUAAUGAACAUGUAGUUGGAAUGAACAAGUACCCUUGUUUAUCUCCAUUGAUCGAUUGAUGUCAGAUCAUUUAGUUCACUCGUUAUCAUGCACAUAUACUUGUACAUGUAAGAAAAGCAAUCAGAUAGAGAAUCUCUUUCUGUCUCUUCUGUGUUUGCUACAAAUAUAUACUAAAAGUGGAGUACUGCUUCUAGAGUUUAAAGAUUUGAACUUGCAAAAGUGUUAGUUCUCUGAUAUUAAGUUUAUUAUUUAUGUACUGUGAAAGUUGUUGUCUGAAUGUGAUAUACCCAUAUAUUAUAUAAAGAACAAGUUCACAUCGGUACCAAAAAUUAUGCUUAAACUUUCAUGCCAUCUAAUAGAUAGUAGUUUGUGUAUACUUUUCAACUUCACAAGCAUUGCAGUAACUACAUUGUCACAGGAAAUUAGAUAUUUUGAGAAGCUUCUACAAGAUCUUGAUAUCAUUUUUGUUCUAUCCCUUGAUCCUGUGCUUGAGAAGGUGCUUCCCUAAAUUGCACAAGUCCGAAAACUUGUACGUGAUUUGAUGUUCUUCUGGUGGUCACACUUACAUCCUUCAAGGAUCAUCCUUAUCAGUUAUUAUAGUAAAUUUGUCGAUUUAGCGUUGUAAUUGCUAUUUGCACUAUUAGGAGUAUCUCCUGGAAAAAAAUCUUCUAUAGACAAACGUGACUAAUAUAUGUGUGUUGUGUUAGAUAUAGAUUUGGUUAUGAGUUACUGCUUUUUGUGGUCAUGGGGAAAUUAAUCAUUCCAGGAUCUCAACAUUGUAGUAUUUUGCACAAAUUUGUGAAGUUCAACGCCUUAGUGUCAUGGCUCAGGACUAAAUGUUCUUGAGUUAUCACAUCAAAACUUGAGAUGUGAAAAUAAAACUACUUUUGCUUACUUGAUUCUUUUGAGCGUGCAUAUGAAACAAUGGUUAUCUAUGUCGCUUGCCUGUGCUAUCAGCUACUAUGAUCUAUCUUUCAUACUUAUAUACACAUUAUGCUUGGACAUGUGUUGUUUGUGUGAAAGGAAACAUCUAGUAUUUUGUAAUGCUUGAACUCAGGGUAAUCACUCCUUAAAUAUUUCUCCAUUUAAUCGAGUAAGAACAGUUCUUCAGAACAUUUUAUCAUUUUCAUCUUUAGACAUCUUGCUAGGAAGCACCAGGGAAUGUUUGCAGUUUUGAUUUAUAUUGUACGUAAAGGACUGUAGAUAUGCUCUCUGCCAGUGAAAACUUCUAGAUGAUCUAUGCACUAUGGCAGUGCCGCAGUGGAUACUUCUAAAUGACUGCGCACAUGUUUUUAUUAAGUCUUAUCAGUAUAGGGAGUUCAAUAAUCUUUUGGUGCUAAACAAGCGGAUGCUACAACUGAAUACUAAAUCAUUAAAACGUUGUAGGAGUUUUACAAGCAAGCUUUGGGUAAAAAGAUUUUUGUAUUGUGCUGUUUAUUCCCAUUAGUCGAUCGAUGUGAGAUCAUCUAGUUCAACUGUCAUCAUGCACAUAUACUGUUACAUGGAAGAAAAAUAACUAGCUAGAGAACUUAUUUAUGUCUCCUUUCAUUUUGCUGCUAAGACAGACUGAAAGUGGAGUACUCUUCUAGAGUUUAAUUGUUAGUACAUGCUGAUUUUAUAAGGUUGGGGUCUUCAAUCUAGUUUUUACUCAAUAAGUUACUGUUUCUUAAGAAUAACAUGAAGCAUGGAUUCUUAUAUGUUCCAUGUAUUAUGUCAGGGCAAGUAAUUAUCAGCUGAGCAAAGGCUACAAGAUGCUAGGAGGAGAAGUUUGAAUGGAGGCAGAGAGUACACUAGGAAAUAGAAUGGAAAAAGGAAGAGAAGACAAUGCUGAAGCACAAGAGUGAGAGGCUAGCGGAAGUUAAAGCAAUAAACUAUAAGAAUUUUGAAUGAUUAUGGCCUCGUGUUGUUGGGAACAUUACAACCAUGGGGAAAGCUAAUUUUGGUUGCUAGUUUAGCAUAGAACACUAUAUGCUCAUUUUGGUCGUGUCGCAUCCAAAAACAUAUGUAAUUUUCCUUUUGUUGCACAACACCCUUAUAUAUGGGCGUUUCUAGGAACAUAUGUAUUUGGUCGUUAAUUUCAUUGAAUGAAGUUAAGUUUUACGAUGAGGUCCAUAUGUGAAUUA